GCUAGGCAGUAGGGGAAAUAAUGUGGUUCAGGGACUGUGGGACUGACUAGGAGGGCUAGGGACUGCAGUAGGGGAAAUAAUGUGGUUCAGGGACUGUGUGACAGACUAGGAGGGCUAGGCAGUAGG